AAAACCCUGAUGAUCAUCUGCCGGCGCUGCUCCACAAAGCAGCAACGAUGGCAGCUGUGAAGGAGCUGCUUUUGGAAACACUGAUUAAUUUGAAUCCUGUAGUCCUUGAAAAGUUCAAGAUCUUCUUGAAGUUCACGGUCUUCCAGAAGAAAUUGCCACAGAUCCCAUGGAGCAAUCUGCAAGAGGCAGACUGUAGAUCAACAAUGAAUCUGAUGUUGGCCACAUAUGGUCAGCGGUGUUUGGAGGUGACCAGUCAGGUUCUAACAGACAUGAACCAGACCGAUCUGUUGGCGUAUCUGCCAGAGAAGAGUGAUGGAGCUGAAGAAAAACUUUCUCUGGAAGAACUUUGGCCUGGACUGAUCGACAAAGUAGAAGCCAUGGAGUCUGUUUUAGAGCUGCUGUUGGAAACCCUCGGUGGUCUAAAUGAAAGAGAGCAGCGUUCAUUCAUCGAC